rnacentral:rRNA from 1 species
AAAGGCGCGCGAUACAGGGUGACAGCCCCGUACACAAAAGCGCAUGUGCUGUGAGCUCGAUGAGUAGGGCGGGACACGUGGUAUCCUGUCUGAAUAUGGGGGGACCAUCCUCCAAGGCUAAAUACUCCUGACUGACCGAUAGUGAACCAGUACCGUGAGGGAAAGGCGAAAAGAACCCCGGCGAGGGGAGUGAAAAAGAACCUGAAACCGUGUACGUACAAGCAGUGGGAGCACAGGUUUACCUG